GAUGAACGCUGGCGGCGUGCCUAAUACAUGCAAGUCGAGCGAACGGACGAGAAGCUUGCUUCUCUGAUGUUAGCGGCGGACGGGUGAGUAACACGUGGAUAACCUACCUAUAAGACUGGGAUAACUUCGGGAAACCGGAGCUAAUACCGGAUAAUAUUUUGAACCGCAUGGUUCAAAAGUGAAAGACGGUCUUGCUGUCACUUAUAGAUGGAUCCGCGCUGCAUUAGCUAGUUGGUAAGGUAACGGCUUACCAAGGCAACGAUGCAUAGCCGACCUGAGAGGGUGAUCGGCCACACUGGAACUGAGACACGGUCCAGACUCCUACGGGAGGCAGCAGUAGGGAAUCUUCCGCAAUGGGCGAAAGCCUGACGGAGCAACGCCGCGUGAGUGAUGAAGGUCUUCGGAUCGUAAAACUCUGUUAUUAGGGAAGAACAUAUGUGUAAGUAACUGUGCACAUCUUGACGGUACCUAAUCAGAAAGCCACGGCUAACUACGUGCCAGCAGCCGCGGUAAUACGUAAGUGGCAAGCGUUAUCCGGAAUUAUUGGGCGUAAAGCGCGCGUAGGCGGUUUUUUAAGUCUGAUGUGAAAGCCCACGGCUCAACCGUGGAGGGUCAUUGGAAACUGGAAAACUUGAGUGCAGAAGAGGAAAGUGGAAUUCCAUGUGUAGCGGUGAAAUGCGCAGAGAUAUGGAGGAACACCAGUGGCGAAGGCGACUUUCUGGUCUGUAACUGACGCUGAUGUGCGAAAGCGUGGGGAUCAAACAGGAUUAGAUACCCUGGUAGUCCACGCCGUAAACGAUGAGUGCUAAGUGUUAGGGGGUUUCCGCCCCUUAGUGCUGCAGCUAACGCAUUAAGCACUCCGCCUGGGGAGUACGACCGCAAGGUUGAAACUCAAAGGAAUUGACGGGGACCCGCACAAGCGGUGGAGCAUGUGGUUUAAUUCGAAGCAACGCGAAGAACCUUACCAAAUCUUGACAUCCUUUGACAACUCUAGAGAUAGAGCUUUCCCCUUCGGGGGACAAAGUGACAGGUGGUGCAUGGUUGUCGUCAGCUCGUGUCGUGAGAUGUUGGGUUAAGUCCCGCAACGAGCGCAACCCUUAAGCUUAGUUGCCAUCAUUAAGUUGGGCACUCUAAGUUGACUGCCGGUGACAAACCGGAGGAAGGUGGGGAUGACGUCAAAUCAUCAUGCCCCUUAUGAUUUGGGCUACACACGUGCUACAAUGGACAAUACAAAGGGCAGCGAAACCGUGAGGUCAAGCAAAUCCCAUAAAGUUGUUCUCAGUUCGGAUUGUAGUCUGCAACUCGACUACAUGAAGCUGGAAUCGCUAGUAAUCGUAGAUCAGCAUGCUACGGUGAAUACGUUCCCGGGUCU
rnacentral:rRNA from 1 species